rnacentral:rRNA from 1 species
CCGCCGGCGACCGGCGCACGGGUGAGUAACACGUAUGCGACCUGCCCCCCGCAGGGGGAUAACCGGGAGAAAUCCCGACUAAUACCGCGUAACGCCGCGGACCUGCAUGGGUCUGCGGCCAAAGGAAGCGAUUCCGGCGGGGGAUGGGCAUGCGGCGCAUUAGCUAGUCGGCGGGGUAACGGCCCACCGAGGCGACGAUGCGUAGGGGUUCUGAGAGGAAGGCCCCCCACACUGGUACUGAGACACGGACCAGACUCCUACGGAAGGCAGCAG